AGAGAGAGACAUGCGCGCAUAUCAAUAAGCGGAGGAAAAGAAACUAACUAGGAUUCCCCUAGUAACGGCGAGUGAAGCGGGAAGAGCUCAAAUUUGAAAUCUUAAAGGGUUUCCCUUUACGAAUUGUAGUUUAAAGAAGUGUUUUCUGUUGAGGUUUUGGUAAAAGUUCUUUGGAAUAGGACAUCAUAGAGGGUGAGAAUCCCGUAUUUGACCUUUACUUUCAACUUUGUGAUACACUUUCAAAGAGUCGGAUUGUUUGGGAAUGCAGUCCAAAAUGGGUGGUAAAUUUCAUCUAAAGCUAAAUAUUGGCGAGAGACCGAUAGCGAACAAGUACCGUGAGGGAAAGAUGAAAAGAACUUUGAAAAGAGAGUUAAACAGUACGUGAAAUUGUCAAAAGGGAAGCGUUUGACACCAGUGUUGUUUUUUCUGAAAAUCAAUUAAAGAACUGUUUAUGCUAAGUUGUUUAGACUUUAUCAGCUAACUGUUUAGUUUUGAGCUUUUCUUUAAUGCACUUUUCAGUUAACAAGUCAACAUCAAUUUCUUUUGCUGUAAAAAAGCUUGAGGAAGGUGGCUUGAGAUUCGUCUUAAGUGUUUAUAGCCUCUUGCCUAUGCAGUCGGAGAGAUUGAGGUCUGCAGCGUAGAUCCUUCGGGGCUAAAUGCAUUUGUGCUAAGUUAUAGCAUUUUAUAGACAACUUGUUGACUAUGAUUUGUCUUGUAGCUUACUCGCUUAUGUUAUUUUACCUACGCUUAGGAUGUUGAGCGCAUGUCUCUCUCU
rnacentral:rRNA from 1 species